rnacentral:rRNA from 1 species
GAUGAACGCUAGCUACAGGCUUAACACAUGCAAGUCGCGGGGCAGCAUGGGGGUUGCUUGCAAUCCCCGAUGGCGACCGGCGCACGGGUGAGUAACGCGUAUCCAACCUGCCCUUCACCACGGGAUAACCCGGCGAAAGUCGGACUAAUACCGUAUGUUGUCCAUUGACGGCAUCCGAUUUGGGCGAAAGGUUUGGCGGGGAAGGUUGGGGAUGCGUCUGAUUAGCUGGACGGCGGGGUGCCGGCCCACCGUGGCGACGAUCGGUAGGGGUUCUGAGAGGAAGGUCCCCCACACUGGAACUGAGACACGGUCCAGACUCCUACGGGAGGCAGCAGUGAGGAAUAUUGGUCAAUGGGCGUAAGCCUGAACCAGCCAAGUAGCGUGCAGGAUGACGGCCCUAUGGGUUGUAAACUGCUUUUAUGCGGGGAUAAAGUGGCCCACGUGUGGGUUUUUGCAGGUACCGCAUGAAUAAGAACCGGCUAAUUCCGUG